rnacentral:rRNA from 1 species
AGAGUUUGAUCCUGGCUCAGGACGAACGCUGGCGGCGUGCCUAAUACAUGCAAGUCGAGCGAGCUUGCCUAGAUGAUUUUAGUGCUUGCACUAAAUGAAACUAGAUACAAGCGAGCGGCGGACGGGUGAGUAACACGUGGGUAACCUGCCCAAGAGACUGGGAUAACACCUGGAAACAGAUGCUAAUACCGGAUAACAACACUAGACGCAUGUCUAGAGUUUGAAAGAUGGUUCUGCUAUCACUCUUGGAUGGACCUGCGGUGCAUUAGCUAGUUGGUAAGGUAACGGCUUACCAAGGCAAUGAUGCAUAGCCGAGUUGAGAGACUGAUCGGCCACAUUGGGACUGAGACACGGCCCAAACUCCUACGGGAGGCAGCAGUAGGGAAUCUUCCACAAUGGACGAAAGUCUGAUGGAGCAACGCCGCGUGAGUGAAGAAGGGUUUCGGCUCGUAAAGCUCUGUUGGUAGUGAAGAAAGAUAGAGGUAGUAACUGGCCUUUAUUUGACGGUAAUUACUUAGAAAGUCACGGCUAACUACGUGCCAGCAGCCGCGGUAAUACGUAGGUGGCAAGCGUUGUCCGGAUUUAUUGGGCGUAAAGCGAGUGCAGGCGGUUCAAUAAGUCUGAUGUGAAAGCCUUCGGCCCAACCGGAGAAUUGCAUCAGAAACUGUUGAACUUGAGUGCAGAAGAGGAGAGUGGAACCCCAUGUGUAGCGGUGGAAUGCGUAGAUAUAUGGAAGAACACCAGUGGCGAAGGCGGCUCUCUGGUCUGCAACUGACGCUGAGGCUCGAAAGCAUGGGUAGCGAACAGGAUUAGAUACCCUGGUAGUCCAUGCCGUAAACGAUGAGUGCUAAGUGUUGGGAGGUUUCCGCCUCUCAGUGCUGCAGCUCACGCAUUAAGCACUCCGCCUGGGGAGUA